AAGUCGUAACAAGGUUUCCGUAGGUGAACCUGCGGAAGGAUCAUUACAGAUGGGUCACCUUGAACUUAGGUUCGAAGCCCACUGGGAUAGACACCCUUGAUUUUGAGUACCUUUUCGUUUCCUCGGCGGGCUCGCCCGCCGGUGGACAACUAAAAACUCUUUGUAAUAGCAGUAUCUUCUGAGAAAAACAAAUAGUCAAAACUUUCAACAACGGAUCUCUUGGUUCUG
rnacentral:misc_RNA from 1 species